AUUGAACGCUGGCGGCAUGCCUUACACAUGCAAGUCGAACGGCAGCACGGGAGCAAUCCUGGUGGCGAGUGGCGAACGGGUGAGUAAAGCAUCGGAACGUGCCCAGUCGUGGGGGAUAACGUAGCGAAAGCUACGCUAAUACCGCAUACGAUCUGUGGAUGAAAGCGGGGGACCGUAAGGCCUCGCGCGAUUGGAGCGGCCGAUGUCAGAUUAGGUAGUUGGUGAGGUAAAGGCUCACCAAGCCGACGAUCUGUAGCUGGUCUGAGAGGAUGAUCAGUCACACUGGAACGGAGACACGGUCCAGACUCCUACGGGAGGCAGCAGUGGGGAAUUUUGGACAAUGGGCGCAAGCCUGAUUCAGCCAUGCCGCGUGCAGGAUGAAGGCCUUCGGGUUGUAAACUGCUUUUGUACGGAACGAAAAGACUUCUUCUAAUAAAGGGGGUCCAUGACGGUACCGUAAGAAUAAGCACCGGCUAACUACGUGCCAGCAGCCGCGGUAACAC
rnacentral:rRNA from 1 species